UAUACUGCAGUCGAGCGAACGGACGAGAAGCUUGCUUCUCUGAUGUUAGCGGCGGACGGGUGAGUAACACGUGGAUAACCUACCUAUAAGACUGGGAUAACUUCGGGAAACCGGAGCUAAUACCGGAUAAUAUUUUGAACCGCAUGGUUCAAAAGUGAAAGACGGUCUUGCUGUCACUUAUAGAUGGAUCCGCGCUGCAUUAGCUAGUUGGUAAGGUAACGGCUUACCAAGGCAACGAUGCAUAGCCGACCUGAGAGGGUGAUCGGCCACACUGGAACUGAGACACGGUCCAGACUCCUACGGGAGGCAGCAGUAGGGAAUCUUCCGCAAUGGGCGAAAGCCUGACGGAGCAACGCCGCGUGAGUGAUGAAGGUCUUCGGAUCGUAAAACUCUGUUAUUAGGGAAGAACAUAUGUGUAAGUAACUGUGCACAUCUUGACGGUACCUAAUCAGAAAGCCACGGCUAACUAC
rnacentral:rRNA from 1 species